rfam:Nocardioides sp. JS614, complete genome.
UGGACUCCACACGACUGGCGCGGGUGGGUGACCACCGGGGAGUGACGCACGGAGCAUCGACCGCCUGGGUGCUCCCC